AAGAAGAAGAAGAAGAAAAACAAAAACAAAAAAGAAUAUUCAGUUAACUUUAAUAAAAAGUCACUACCAGUCUCUCCAUAACAAAGGGUUAUGAGCUUCAGAAUGAAUGAGUUCUACUUACCAGAAAAAGCAAGGAAUGAGAGGCCAAAUCUACUCCAUCUUGGAAACAGAUGCCAUCUUAAAAGAAAAAAAUUCUGAGAACUAGACCUGUAGCUGAAACCAAGUGGCACUCAAGUACCAGAAAGGAUCCCAGGAGUGGAUUCCAGGGUUAUUCCCCAGCUACAUCCUAGCAACAGUCAAUCAAAGAUUAGUUUGAUUGUUUCAGAUGAACUUUCAGACUGUUUGGGAUUGUUCGUGGUCUUGCCUCAGAGCACCCAGCAUUGGGCUUACAGUGGUCGUUCUAUGAGAUGCUUGUCAGACUGGACACCCCUUCAUUUCCUCCCAUUUCCUAUAAAACCCUGUCCCAAAGAGGGUUCGGGGCUUCUUCAUCAAACUGUCCUCUUGCUUCAGGUUCAGCAGUGAGUAAGCCAAAAUUCAAGAUCAUAAUUAAUACCCUAAUGGCAUUAAAUUAGAGUUGGUCUCUCAGAGCUUGUGAAUAGACAAAUCACUUCUACUAAUGCUGCUGAAAUUCCAACCAGGAAUAGUUUCUGCUUUUUUAUUUUAUCACUCUUCUAAUAAGGAGAUUGUCAAAUCCCCAAGGAUACUAUUUCAUCUCACUCUCUGUUGUCCUUCCAAACAAGCAGCCGUGGGAAUGAUUCAUAUUACCUCCCCACCACCAACACCCUGCUACCAUCAUAGACAGGAAUUGUGUUUAUAAAUGGUUAUCAAAUGUUAAUAAUAUUAUGUGAGGGGGAGAAGAUGAUGUCUUUUCAUUGUGAAACAAUUUACAAAUUUCCCAAGUCAUUGGGAAUCUAUGAGGAGUUAGCUAAUGAUAUAAAGAUCAUCAAGCAGAGGGGCUUCAAUUCAUAAAAUACCUAAAAUUGGCGUCAUCAGUAUGUCCAACUGCUUGCAUUCUCAACAUUGUUAAGAAGCAGUCUAGAAACUGAAGUUUCCACUGUCUUCUGAUUUAGGUACAUCAUAUGAUCAUUGGGCUAAAAGAAUCAAAAUUUAUUUUUGAUUGUAUUAAGCAAUGGAGUUUGUCUAUCUUCUUGCACAGACAUCAAUGGAACAACUAUGUAAAUGUAUGUGUUUUUUCACUGUAACAUACUACCCUAAUAAGUUGCUUAGAGUUCAGAGACAUGCGGCAACACAUCCCAAUGUGCGUGAUGACUCUCUCGGACAGUAUUAUAAUUCUAUUUUCUUUGUCUGCCUGCAAAAAUCUCAUUGCCUUUGUUUAAUGCAAAGAAGAGAAUAGCACUGAUAGCAUGAAUAUUAGGGGGCUGGUUCCUGGUUUGAAUAUCAUUGCUCCCUGUUGGCUCGUGUAUUUAAAAUCUAAUUAUCCAGGAGGUCAAAAUAUUUGAGCAGAUUAGUUGCUGGAGAAUCACUGGACAAAGUGUGUCACUGGUGCAAAAUCUGAGCAAAAGGCCUCAAGACAGCUUAGUUCUGAGUUUUUACUUAGUGAUCAUAGUUGAGAAUGUUAUCUCUCUGCUUUCCAUUCGACCAUGGUUGCUUGCUCUCAGGGCUGUCUCUCAUGAUGGCAUCUUAACCACUCGGAACAAUUGGCCAAUGCAAUCUACUUCUUUUUAAGUUGCUGCAGUCAUGGAGUAUAUUGAAAAGAAUAGACAAGUAACAAGUCCACUAAAACAUGUUCUGAUUAAAUUUAAGUCUUCUUUUUUUGGAGAGAAUUUAUGGUACAUUCUGAAAGCAGAUGAGUAAUAUGUAGAAUAAUUAUUGUGGUGGUUUUAAUAGGUUUGACCCAUGAAGAGUGUCACUAUUGGCAUGUGUGGCUUUGUUGGAGAAAGUGUUUCACUGUGUUGGGGGCUUUGAGGUCUCCUAGUGCUCCAGUUCCACCCAGGGUGAAAGACAGUCUCCUCCUUGUUGACUUCAGAUCAAGAUGUAGAACUCUUGGCUCCUUCAGCAUCAAGUCUGUCCGCACAUUGCCAUGCUUCCCACCAUGAUGAUAAUGCUCUGACCCUCUCUAGAACUUUAAGUCAACCACAAUUAAAUGUUUGCCUGUAUAAAAGAUAUCUCAGUCAUAUUGUCCCAGCAAUGAAACUCGAACUAAGUGAGUAGGUCAUGGAUACUAUAAGGAAAUACACUAUUGUAAUUUACCUACAAAGUCCUGAUGACCAACGUACUUGAAAACAGUCGCUUGCAUUCAGAGUAAAGUGUUGUGCACAGGUACCAUCACUAAAUUUUCUUGCAGAAUUUGCAGUCUUAAGAAAAUGGUAACUGCUUAACUGAUACAUUAAAAGCGACCUAUUACACCUAUGAUAAAUGGAACAUCUAUAGCACCUUGCACUCCAAAGAUUAAGGGAUUAAUCUUUGCUAUGGCUAGACCAAAAGAAGUUUUCCUGAGACCAUGAUGGAUAAAGGGAACCAGUUUGAAUGACAAGAAUAUACUUGGCAGUUCAAGAAUGGUCUAAAGGGAAAUAUUUUGGGAAUGUAACUUCUAACUAGAAGCACCAAAUGCUCUGCACCAUAAUGGACUGGGAAUACCUCUACCAAAACUGCUGUGUGCUUUUCUCUGAUGGUAUUGAGAUAUCCUGUGCACCCAGCUAUUGAUCUCAUUUUCCUAGCACAUAGCAUUAUCACUUCCAGGAAAUGAUUAUAAGAUGUUAUACUUCUUAAUAGCCUUGUUUGACAAAAGAUAAACAUUGUAUAAGAUAUCUUUAUCCUAACUUUUCUAUCUUUUUUUUACUCUGAGCAUAAGGAGAAGCUUCUAACCCUGGAGACUGUAAUGGAGGAUUGUCCUGUCGGCCCAGGAGAAAGGAAUGCCAUAGAUAAUAUAGUGUAAAGAAUGGGGUCAUGCUCCUCAGCCAGUUCUGAGAGCUCUGGAUGGUGAUUCUGAGAGCCCUGGAUGGUGAUUCUGAGAGCCCUGGAUGGUGAAGACAGGAAACUGUAGCAACUUAUCCAGAUCUCCCACUGCCCAACCAGAUCUGCUCACCUGAGAAUCAGAACUAAGAGCCGUGGUCGGUGAAGACAGAGGAUAACGUUGCCAAGGAUACAGGUAUGUUAGAAUUCAGAGAGAGGUGGGGCUGAAGUGACAGUAGAAAGUGGAUAUGAAAUUAGAUUUUCCACUUUUUUUUCAUUAAUGGUUCUAGAAAAUUUCAUUGAGAAUAAUAUUGUGUGUGGUAAUACAGAUUUCCAGUUGUAGGCUAUACAGGAAACAGUCAGGCAUUCUCAGUAUUUGAUUAGUUUGCAGGCUCUGAAACGACUGCUGCCUAUUAGGUAAAGUGUCUU
rnacentral:sRNA from 1 species